rnacentral:siRNA from 1 species
GUCUCAUGUUGUGUGCUUGUCAUC